GAGAAGAAAUUAAGAGAUUUGAGAGGGGUUUUAAUUGAAUUUGUUACAGGAAGUUGUUGCUUAGGUAGAAGAUGUUUUUUUGCUACAAUUGGUGUUAGGGUUUGAAUUGAGAAGAAAUUAGGGUUCAUAUGUAUGGUUUGAUUUGGAUUUUGCAUUGUCUGUAGAUUUUUGUUUAGGCUCCAGGUUGGGUUUCUCGGAUGCUAAUUUAAUUGUGAGAUUUUGCAGUUUUAAUUUGGGAAUAAUUAACGCGUAUAUGAUUUCUUCAUCUUCCAUAUCCCUGCCCCUAUACUAUUUCGUCUGUGUUUCCUCUCCUAGAAAUGUUGUUGUUCCUUCUACUAAACAUGUUUAAAAUUAAACUCAUGAGCAGUAAUAUGGUAACGAUUUAUUUUUAUCACUGUAAUUGCAGGAUUAGUUGAUUGAUAGACACUAUUCGCAUGUCAAAUUGCCAACCAUGUUUUGCAUGGUCCUAAAGAUUAGUUACAUAUGUGUUCCCUGUGUAAGUAAAAGUGAAGGAUCAAAAUGAAUGGAUGUAAAUGAUAUAUGUUUUAUUGUUGUUGAUUGCUGAGAAUUGUGGAGGGUCAAAAGUACAUUCAAUAUUCAUCUCUGCCUACACUCACGCACACAGGGUGUUUGUAAAAAUGCCCAAAUCAGUAUCUCUUCUCAAUUUCUAUCACAAGAUAUAGGACAAGUAUGUCGUUGGGGCUAUGGAGGAGAAAGGAAAUUAGGUAACCAUUUCCCGUGGUGGUCGGCAUAAUGCCACAAUAACAGGUAACUGUUUGAUUUUAAUUGAAGAAUACUUUCUCAGUACAAAUCUUGAUUAUUUAAAUUAGUGAUUAAAGGCUUGCUCGGCUUCUUGAUGCGAAUUUGUGCAAUUCAAUCUUUAUAAAAGAUGAUCCAUGUUUGGGAGGGAUUUUCUAUGUCUGAAACUCACAAUUUGGUAGCGUUUUGGUUUAUCUAUAAUAUUCAAA